rnacentral:rRNA from 1 species
GCUAGUCUAGGAGUAUUGGGCCUAAGCAUCCGUAGCCGGCUACGCAAGUCUCCGGUUAAAUCCAUCUGCUUAACAGAUGGGCUGCCGGAGAUACUACAUAGCUAGGGAGCGGGAGAGGUAGACGGUAUUCGGUGGGUAGGGGUAAAAUCCUCUGAUCCAUUGAGGACCACCAGUGGCGAAGGCGGUCUACCAGAACGCGUUCGACGGUGAGGGAUGAAAGCUGGGGGAGCAAACCGGAUUAGAUACCCGGGUAGUCCCAGCUGUAAACGAUGCAGACUCGGUGAUGCACUGGCUUUUGGCCAGUGCAGCGCCGCAGGGAAGCCGUUAAGUUUGCCGCCUGGGAAGUACGUACGCAAGUAUGAAACUUAAAGGAAUUGGCGGGGGAGCAC